GGUCAGGACGAACGCUGGCGGCGUGCCUAAUACAUGCAAGUCGAACGGUCUUUCUAUGGAAGCUUGCUUCCACUGAGAAGAUAGUGGCGAACGGGUGAGUAACACGUGGGUAACCUGCCCAUAAGAGGGGGAUAACAUCCGGAAACGGGUGCUAAUACCGCAUAGUUUUCUUGAUCGCAUGAUUGGGAAAGGAAAGACGGCCUUUGUGCUGUCGCUUAUGGAUGGACCCGCGGCGUAUUAGUUAGUUGGUGAGGUAAUGGCUCACCAAGACGAUGAUACGUAGCCGACCUGAGAGGGUGAUCGGCCACAUUGGGACUGAGACACGGCCCAAACUCCUACGGGAGGCAGCAGUAGGGAAUCUUCCGCAAUGGACGAAAGUCUGACGGAGCAACGCCGCGUGAGUGAAAGAAGGUUUUCGGAUCGUAAAACUCUGUUGUCAGAGAAGAACAAGUUGGAGAGUAACUGCUCCAGCCUUGACGGUAUCUGACCAGAAAGCCACGGCUAACUACGUGCCAGCCGCCGC
rnacentral:rRNA from 1 species